rnacentral:rRNA from 1 species
GACGAGCCACACGAACGUUAUUCGGAAUUACUGGGCUUAAAGGGUGCGUAGGCGGUGCGGAAAGUUGGGUGUGAAAUCCCUCGGCUCAACCGAGGAACUGCGCUCAAAACUACCGUACUUGAGGAAGAUAGAGGUGAGCGGAACUUACGGUGGAGCGGUGAAAUGCGUUGAUAUCGUAAGGAACACCCGUGGCGAAAGCGGCUCACUGGACCUUUUCUAACGCUGAGGCGCGAAAGCUAGGGGAGCAAACGGG